AAGACUAUACUUUCAGGGAUCAUUUCUAUAGUUUUUGACUUGAGAAAUGUGUUUCUAAAGAGUUUGGUCUCGCUUACCACGAUGAUGAAUUGUGAUGUUCUCUUCUGAGCAUGAAGUUGACAUUGAGUAAUGAUUUACUUCAUCUGCUCAUUGUCAUUGAUGACUGUUCUCUGCUUUUUCAUGAAGCUCAGAGGAAGAGAAUAUGAUCCGAGUGGU